rnacentral:rRNA from 1 species
GAUGAACGCUGGCGGCGUGCCUAAUACAUGCAAGUCGAGCGGACGGACGAUAAGCUUUCUUCUUUGAGGGUAGCGGCUGACGGGUGAGUAACACGUAGAUAACCUACCUAUAAUACUGGGAUAACUUCGUGAAACCGGUUCUAAUACCGGAUAAUAUGUUGAACCGCAUGGUUCGAAAGUUAAAGACGGUCUUGCUGUCUCUUAUAGAUGGUUUCGCGCUGCAUUAGCUAGUUGGUAAGGUAACGGCCUACCAAGGCAACGAUGCAUAGCCGACCUGAUAGGGUGAUCAGCCACACUGGAACUGAGACACGGUCCAGACUCCUACGGGAGGCAGCAGUAGGGAAUAUUCCGCAAUGGGCGCAAGCCUGACGGAGCCACGCCGCGUGAGUGAUGAAGGUCUUCGGAUCGUAAAACUCUGUUAUUAGGGAAGAAAAUAUGUAUAAGUAAAUGUGCACAUCUUGACGGUACCUAAUCAGAAAGCAACGGCUAACUACGUG